rnacentral:rRNA from 1 species
GAAACUAACAAGGAUUUUCUUAGUAGCGGCGAGCGAAAAGAAAACAGUUCAGCACUAAGCCAUUUUGUCUUUAUGGCAAAUAUGGGAUGCAGUGUAUGGAACAUCUAUAAUCUAGUAUGAGAAAUUAACGAUUUAAGUCCUUCUUAAAUGAGGCCAUUUACCCAUAGAGGGUGCCAGGCCCGUAUAACGUUAAUGAUUACUAGAAGGUGUUUCCAAAGAGUCGUGUUGCUUGAUAGUGCAGCACUAAGUGGGUGGUAAACUCCAUCUAAAACUAAAUAUAACCAUGAGACCGAUAGUAAACAAGUACCGUGAGGGAAAGUUGAAAAGAACUCUGAAUAGAGAGUUAAAUAGUACGUGAAACUGCUUAGAGGUUAAGCCCGAUGAACCUGAAUAUCCAUUAUGGAAAAUUCAAUGCUAAGAAAGAAAUAUAAAAAAAUAUUUUAAUAAUAGUGUGCAAUUUUUCCAUAUAAGGACAUUGUAAUCUGUUAAUGUAAUAAAUAUUUAUCAUAAGAUCCAUUACUUAAGUUUAUUCAAAUUGUUUAUCUUCGGAUUUUCAACAUAAAAUAAAUGUUUUGGAUUUGAUAAAUCAUUGACAGAUAUAAUUAUAUAUUGUGCUUAAAUUUUUCGGAAUUUUACAAUGGUAAAUAGAUCUAUUGAUUUGUUUAUUUAUAUUGUAUGCACUUUUAUGAUUAACAAUGCGAUAGAUUCAGGAUACCUUCGGGACCCGUCUUGAAACACGGACCAAGGAGUCUAACAUAUGUGCAAGUCAUUGGGUAUUUUUAAUAAAACCCAAUGGCAUAAUUAACUUAACUUAAUUUAAUGGGAUUAGUUUAUAAUUUGUCAUGAAUUAUUUAUUCAAUCCCGGGGCGUUCUAUACAGUUAUGCAUAAUGAUAUUUAUAUUAUUUAUGCCUCUAACUAGAGCGUACCUUGAGCAUAUAUGCUGUGACCCGAAAGAUGGUGAACUAUACUUGAUCAGGUUGAAGUCAGGGGAAACCCUGAUGGAAGACCGAAACAGUUCUGACGUGCAAAUCGAUUGUCAGAAUUGAGUAUAGGGGCGAAAGACUAAUCGAACCAUCUAGUAGCUGGUUCCCUCCGAAGUUUCCCUCAGGAUAGC